UCCUCCCCCAAUUAAACCUGAUUCUUUUUGCACGCUCUCUUCUCUGGAGAUUCAAACGCCAUACGGAAAAUUGUUGCUAAUAUCCACUCUCAUCAUCUUCAGAUUUUAUCAUCAUCUCUGUUCUUUUACAUCUUUCUUCUCCUUAAGAUUCCCCUUUUCUCGAAACCCUAAUUUCCCCAGGCUUUCACAUGGAUCUCGCUCAAUCAAAGUUUUUUCGCCACUCAAUCUAUAGACGCCGUCCCGGAGGAGAUCCAACGCCCUCCGUUCGAUAUCAAUCAAGCGGUCAUUCUCGCUGGAUUUGCAUUUGAAGCCUACACAACUCCUCCUACCAUAAUACUGGAAAGACCGAGGUGGAUGCUGCUGGUUCCCAGACUCUCAUCCUUUCACAGUCAUUUCUCCGUGAGCUUUACGAUGGAUAGUUGUUCGUAAAGCUCAACAAGGGUUACGAUUUUCCUACCAUGGAUCCAUGGGGAACAAGUGACCCUUAUGUCGUCUUGCAGUUGGAUACUCAGAUUGUUAAAAGCAAUAUAAAGAGGGAGAUUGCUACAUUAAAGAUCUUGAAGCAUCCAAAUGUUGUUAGAUUACAUGAGGUAUUUUUGUUAACAUAUGUUUGAUUUUUUUUUAAUAUGUUUGAUAAUAUCUCUUUUUAAUUGAAUUUAUUUUGCUUGAUUAUACCUUUUUUUGUAAACAUAUGUUUGAUUGUUUAAUACUGAGUCAAAGAGAUGAGAUUGUUUGCAUCGUUAGAAGAAAUCAAAUUUCGGAUGGAACUUUGAGUGACAUUACUGAGUGGUGUUUUGAUGAUAAUUAAAAUGGUCGAAUGAAGGUAUACAUGGUUUGAUAAGACUCAGUCUAGAUGUAUAAUGCAGAAUAGUAAGUACUUGUGCUUGACUUUGUUGUGAACCAGUCACUUUCAAGUUACACCUGUUGGAAGUGAAUUCCUCAAAGGACCAAAUCCUUCAGACCUUAUUUUGGCUUUCAAUUUGUGCUACUUUGUAGCUGAAUUUUUUACUUUUGUUUCUUUUACAGACCCUCUUGAGACUGCAAGAAUUCCUAAAAUGGUUGAUAAAGAAAGGUCAAACAAGAGCAAGGUUUGCUGAAAUGUUUAAAUGUUUAUUAACUACUGUAAAUAAAAAAGCUAAACAAAUGGGUCAAAAUGUGUUGUACUGUUGUACCAGUUUCCCUUUUUGGCUCUUUGAUAAACUUUAUUUGAAUACAUACCUUUGCAAGACUAACUUUAUUUUGGCUUUCAAUGAUGCAAUGGAACUCAGUGAAUGGGUGUCAUUGUUUUUAAGAUACAACAAAGAGAGGAAGCUACGAACAAACAUGAAUGUGCCAUGUCAUAUGCCUUCUCUCACCAAGUAUAUAUCUUUUAAAGGCGACAAGAAAUGUAGGUUGAUUGGGCUGGGUAAUGGGUCAAACAUGUUUGGGUUAACACGAGUCACUUUUUAAGCAGGGUUGGAGCGGGUCCAUGUGUUGCGCUUUAUUCUUUUGGGUAUGAAAAAUUGUUUUCAAUUUAUUUUUUUUUAAUCCAGAGACAUUUUAAAUGUAGUUAAUUGGGGUCAUCGUGCUGGUUUAAGUAGCUGUAUAUUUGCUAUUAAUGGAUCCGGUUGUGCUAUUGUUGUUGAUAAUCCUUUAAAGUUUAAUGGUUUUAUCUUAGUGGCGGCUGGUGGCGGGGGUAUUGCAGUUGGUGAUGCAGCCGGUGGUGGCACUGCACCCCAAGGGCUGCCAUUGCUGAAACAACGAAGGAAUUAAUGGUCGAAGAAAAAGA